ensembl:lncRNA LINC01607 long intergenic non-protein coding RNA 1607
AGUUAGGGUGAUCCCAGGUUAGAGGCGCCCAGGCUAGAAGGGCCCGGCUCUUGGCCCUCGCUGUCCUGCCCGCUGUCGCCGCUCUUUGGCGCCCCCGCAACAGCUCCCUCUCAGCAGGACGCGGAAAGGUCCUCUGUGGACAGUGAGCUGGACUGACCUCACAACCCUCCAGUAUGUGCAGUGGCUGAGAAUGACCCACUCCCAGCAACUUUCUGCAGCCAAGGGGUUAAUCCUCCCUGAGCUGAAGCCUGACAUGGGGGCUUGUAUGUGUCCAGGAAGUCUAGUGAAUUCGACCAUGAAUCCAGACAUGGCCAGUGGCUAAAUCCUGUGGGAAGACACUGUGCUUCUCUCUGACCCAUGAACACUCUGCUAGUCAAGCUCUCUGUCACAAAGACAACUUGAAGAGACAGAGUGGACCUCACAGAAGAUACCAUCGUCACUCUUACCAAUGCAACUGUGGUGAACAGGACCACUAUUAUUCCUUAGAUCAAAAGGACAGCACAUUCAACAGCAUCCUCAUGGCAUGCCAGCAAUUUGCAUAGGAUGUUCACAAUUAAACUUUGAUUAUCUAGUGCUUUGUGGAUGUAUUAUGUAUUACAGAAAUCUAUUUGCAACAUGGA